rnacentral:rRNA from 1 species
GCAGCCGCGGUAAUACGUAGGUGGCGAGCGUUGUCCGGAAUUACUGGGUGUAAAGGGAGCGCAGGCGGGACUUCAAGUCAGCUGUGAAAACUACGGGCUUAACCUGUAGACUGCAGUUGAAACUGUAGUUCUUGAGUGAAGUAGAGGUAGGCGGAAUUCCGAGUGUAGCGGUGAAAUGCGUAGAUAUUCGGAGGAACACCAGUGGCGAAGGCGGCCUACUGGGCUUUAACUGACGCUGAGGCUCGAAAGUGUGGGGAGCAAACAGGAUUAGAUACCCC